rnacentral:rRNA from 1 species
UACCUGCAGUUCGGGCCGCUGCACGGCGCGCACGAGCUCGCGAUGGGCCUCGAGGAGCCGAAGUUCGAGCUCCCGUGGUACUCGUGGAGGCAGCGGAUGGAGCAGCCGUAGCCGCAGCGGUCCGCCGUCUAGCCGCCGCAGUAGACCCAUCGCUAAAGACCAGCACUUCCCCCAGCUGCGGCCGGCAACCUCGGCUUGGUUGUCGCUUCGCCCGCGUGCUGGCGUGCUCCCGUGGCGGCAUCGUAGGCUAAGAAGGGUGUACUAGGUUGGGGCGGACGGCCGAGCCGAGCACCCUACCCUCGUAGUAGGGCGCGGGCGGGCGGGCGUGGCGGCGUGCUCGGCCCGUGCAUUGCAUUGGAGCGGUUGCCAGCGGGAGAGGAGCAACGGAGCGGCAGAAAUAUUAGGGCCCGAGCAGACCCGUAGUGUGUGGUGGCGGUGUAGUGAGAUGAGGUGGAUGGACAGAGCGCGAGGAACAAGUGUAGUAGAGGGAAGCGAAAGGGAAGCCGCGAAGCUCUCUCUCUUCCUUCUUCCUUCUACCGCCUGCUCCCCUGCCGGUUGACGUAGCUGUAGUAGGAGCGGUAGUAGGACGGCGGCGAGCCGCAGAAGAAGUUCAAGCGGACACCCCACUUGGUACCGCUUGAACAAGACACAGAUCAUGUUCGGCAAACAGACUCUGCGCUCGGUGCCAAGUACCACGACGGAUGCACACACAACUACGACAACAUGUAGACACAACAACAGGCACGAACUACUAAUCGGAGGAGAGGACAGUGGAAGGGAAGAGGUCACAUCACAUAGGUAGGUCAACACAACAAGGAGGCGCGUAAAAGCAGCAGGUACAUGAAACUUGAAACUAAUUAAUUAAUUAGUUAGUUAACUAACCACCUCUUCAAAAGUCAACAAGAGCUCGCAAGGAACGCGUUAAAAGGAAGGUAGGCUAACCAAAACAACCAACCGCUCAAGGGGCACGACAUCGCA